GACAGAGGUGCCGAGCGUUAGGCGGAAUCACUGGGCUUAAAGCGUGUGUAGGCGGACUUCUAAGUACCUUGUGAAAUCCCAUGGCUCAACCAUGGAACUGCUUGGUAUACUGGUUGUCUUGAGCCACUUAGGGGCAGUCGGAACAGAUGGUGGAGCGGUGAAAUGCGUAGAGAUCCGGAGGAACACCGACGGCGCAGGCAGCGUCCUGGCCGCUUGCUGACACUGAGGCACGAAAGCUGGGGGAGCAAACAGG
rnacentral:rRNA from 1 species